CCUACGGGAGGCAGCAGUGAGGAAUAUUGGUCAAUGGCCGAGAGGCUGAACCAGCCAAGUCGCGGGAGGGAAGACGGCCCUACGGGUUGUAAACCUCUUUUGUCGGGGAGCAAAGCGAACCACGUGUGGUUCAUUGAGAGUACCCGAAGAAAAAGCAUCGGCUAACUCCGUGCCAGCAGCCGCGGUAAUACGGAGGAUGCGAGCGUUAUCCGGAUUUAGUGGGUUUAAAGGGUGCGCAGGCGGAGGUGCAAGUCAGCGGUGAAAUUGCGGGGCUCAACCCCGUACUGCCGUUGAAACUGCAUCCCUUGAGUGCGCGAGAAGUAUGCGGAAUGCGUGGUGUAGCGGUGAAAUGCAUAGAUAUCACGAAGAACCCCGAUUGCGAAGGCAGCCUGCCGCAGCGUUACUGACGCUGAAGCUCGAAAGCGCGGGUAUCGAACAGGAUUAGAUACCCCAGUAGUC
rnacentral:rRNA from 1 species